GUCUUAUUCGUUUGUUCCUGCUAUUUGUCUUCUCUUCUGUAAAAAUGGCUUUAGCACUCAGAAUCUUCUACUUGCAAAGAAUGCUCAUCUUGUCCUGUAGGAGGACAUUCUCUGUAGGAGGAAUGGAGUUUAAACAACUGAAAAAUCAAAGAGAUGAAUAUUUGCAGCUGUGGUAAAUACCCAAAAUUCUGUGCCAAAAUGUAAACAAAGCUGUUAAUGCAUCCAAAUUAGCUGACAUCAAGCAACAGCAACUGCUCCCUUGCAGUCUUUGUGGCAAAGACAACAAACUAAGGAAAUGGUCGUUUACCACCUCACUAGCUGCUAGAACCACCACCAGUCUCCCUGGGAAGCCUGUACCUGCAAGGGAGAUGUUGCAUAACCCUAUAGAUAAGUGACUGCACUUGGGCUCAGAAGACUUCAGGUCAGCCUCCAGAGAUAGAGCCUUGGAAAUGGUCCUUGAACAGAUACCCUUAAGAAGCAAGCACUCCCCUCUGCAUAUUCUUACGUAAGAAAAUUCUGAUGCCUCUUAAACUACAACUUCUGGGUAAAUCUGAUGGUGUUCUGAUGUCAGGACAUUCAUGACAUGAUAUCCCACUGCCUGCAACUACUAUCCUUUCUGUCUGUGGCCUGCACAUAUAUGUGUGAAGCAAAACUCUGCAAAGUAAAAUUGAUUGACCAGCCUUGGCUGGCAUUUGCUUCACUGCUUACAUGAAAAUGAAACUAAAAGAGGUUUGCUGUCUGUCAGGGCCCUACAUCAGGAGGAGGAUACUGGGUCUGAUAAGGCUGGAGGAUUGCUAUCCACUACUGCUCUUUCAGGCUGGGUCACGGGAGGCUGCAAUUAGGAAACAAAAUAUUUAAAAAGACUUUAUGUACUUUGGGAAGAUGUUGGAGGGAUUGGGAGCCCUGGUAGCGUUAUCCUGAUUCCUCCCACUUGGAGACUGAAACUCAGACAGAAGGAGAAAAACAAAUCAGUUGAAUGAAUGGCUGCAUGUAUGGUGUCAUACUCAUGGUUUCAAGUACAUCUUGGAUGCACCUUUGAGAAACCAAGCCUGUUGGUGUUGGAUGGAAUGCAACUGACCAGGAGGUGCAAGAUUAUACUGGACAGCAACCUGGCUGGGCUUAUCACCAGAGCUUUAAACGAGAUUUGAUGGGGGAAGGUGUUGUAAUGCUGAGUGACUGAGAAGAGCCAUGAAACACUGUCAUUUUAGGAAGUAAUGCAGAAAAAGCUCAGAUUUGUCCCAGAGGAAUCUGGGAGAGCUUCCACAAGAAGGUAACACAGAUUAUAGCCCAACUAAAGUGCCUCUACACCGUCGCAUGCAGUCUGGGAAAUAAACAGGAGUUGGAAACCGUGGUGUAAUUUGAAAGCGAUGACUUAAUUGCUAUCAUAAAAGUCUCUGAGAAACAGCAAUAAUAAUAAACAGGGAUAAAAUUAGGGACAAGAACUAUAAAGGGCAUCUGGUGAUCAGAGUUUACGAUUAGGCUGUCUGAUCCUGAUGGGGAUUUCAGCCACUCAGAGAUCGGCUGGGAAAACAACACAGUGGCAUGCAAGAAGUCCAUGGUACUCUUGGAGUUCAUUGAAGAUUACUUCCUAGUCCAGAUACUGGACAGACCAGGGGUUGGAGACUGAAAGAAGAAGUUAUUGACACUGCGUCAUGGGCUGCAUCAACAGAGAGAUGGCAGAGGGCAGAGAGGGGAUUGUUCUCUGCUCUGCCUCACGAGGCCCCGUUGACAGUAUUGCAUCCAGACCUGGAACACCCAGCACAGGAGGGACGUGGGUCAAAGAUGAUCAAAGGGCUGAAAUACCUCUCCUAUGAAGAGAGUUUGAGGUGUCCAGGCUUGUUCAGCCUGGAGAAGAGAAGGGAGAUCUCACUGUGGCCUUCCAGUACCUGAAGGGAGCUAAUUAGCAGAGGGGAGACUGACUUCUGUACAUGGUCUGGUAGUGAUAGGACAAGGGGGAAUGGCUUUAAAUUAAAAGAGGAAAGAUUUAGGUUGGAUUUGAAGAAGAAAUUCUUUACUCGGAAAAUGGUGAGACCCUGGUACUGCUGACCAGGAAGCAAUGGAUGCUCCAUGACUGGAGGUUCUCAAGGCCAAAAUGGAUGAGGUUCUGGGCACCACCUGAUCCGGUGGGUGGACACCAGUUCAUGACAGGGGAGUUGG